rnacentral:rRNA from 1 species
UACGUAGGGUGCAAGCGUUAAUCGGAAUUACUGGGCGUAAAGCGUGCGCAGGCGGUUGUGUAAGACAGAUGUGAAAUCCCCGGGCUCAACCUGGGAACUGCAUUUGUGACUGCACAGCUGGAGUGCGGCAGAGGGGGAUGGAAUUCCGCGUGUAGCAGUGAAAUGCGUAGAGAUGCGGAGGAACACCGAUGGCGAAGGCAGCCCCCUGGGCUGACACUGACGCCUCAGGCACGAAAGCGUGGGGAGCAAACAGG